GUGCUCUCUUCGGCAGCACACGUAUUAAAAUUGGAAUGACAGAGAAGAUUAGCACGCCCCCUGUGCAAAAAUGGCAUGCAAAUUCAUGAAGUGUUCCAUAUUUUU